CAAUGCGACCCCAGGUCAGGCGGGGCUACCCGCUGAG
rnacentral:rRNA from 1 species